GAGUUUGAUCAUGGCUCAGGAUGAACGCUAGCGGCAGGCUUAACACAUGCAAGUCGAGGGGUAGAAAUAGCUUGCUAUUUUGAGACCGGCGCACGGGUGCGUAACGCGUAUGCAACCUACCUUGUACAUAGGGAUAGCCCAGAGAAAUUUGGAUUAAUACCUAAUGGUGUUAUGAAUCGGCAUCGGUUUAUAACUAAAGAUUUAUCGGUACAAGAUGGGCAUGCGUCCCAUUAGCUAGUUGGUAUGGUAACGGCAUACCAAGGCUACGAUGGGUAGGGGUCCUGAGAGGGAGAUCCCCCACACUGGUACUGAGACACGGACCAGACUCCUACGGGAGGCAGCAGUGAGGAAUAUUGGUCAAUGGGCGCAAGCCUGAACCAGCCAUGCCGCGUGCAGGAUUAAGGUCCUAUGGAUUGUAAACUGCUUUUGUACGGGAAGAAACAACUCUUCGAGAAGAGUCUUGACGGUACCGUAAGAAUAAGGAUCGGCUAACUCCGUGCCAGCAGCCGCGGUAAUACGGAGGAUCCAAGCGUUAUCCGGAAUCAUUGGGUUUAAAGGGUCCGUAGGCGGCCUUAUAAGUCAGUGGUGAAAUCUCACGGCUCAACCGUGAAAUUGCCAUUGAUACUGUAGGGCUUGAAUGGCUGUGAAGUAACUAGAAUAUGUAGUGUAGCGGUGAAAUGCUUAGAUAUUACAUGGAAUACCGAUUGCGAAGGCAGGUUACUAACAGUUUAUUGACGCUGAUGGACGAAAGCGUGGGUAGCGAACAGGAUUAGAUACCCUGGUAGUCCACGCUGUAAACG
rnacentral:rRNA from 1 species